AGUUAAAUAGUUUUUUUCAUUGGGCCUGAGUUGGAAGGCAAAGGAAUACAAAAAGUUGGACAUACUGAAAUUCAGUAUUUCAUUAGCAAAGAUUUGUACACAAAGCUCAAAUAAAAUGUCAUCAAGAAAUAUGAGAACAGCUCUGUAAGUCUGAUUUGAAGACACAUAUAUGUUUUUCUUUUUGACUGCAUAGGGAACAAUGAAAUAAAACCUCAUUGACGUAAUUGAACCUGAUAACAUCGCCUGGUUGUGCUGCUGAUGUUUCACUGUGGUCUUGGUGGUUUUGUAGAGCUCUGUAAAGCAUGUUGGACGUAUAAACAUUCAAACAGAAACUUUGAUCAUGAUUCAACUUUUAACCACAAAGAAAAGCUGAAUUUAUAUAUAAAGGCUCAGUCUUGAGUUCACUUUAUGAAAUCAACUAAAAAAUAUUUUAAUAGUGUGUAUACCUCAUGUGUUUCUUAAAGGAAAUGCUGUUUUUAAAAUUAGUUUUGAACAGAUAACCAGUCUUUGCAAAUUAUAUAAAAAUUAUAUUUGAGAUUAGAAGCAAAUAAUGGAAGCUCCUAAAAACAGCAAGUUAAAAUUUCAUACUUUUGUUAAUGUCUUGUAGUGUAACAGAGCCAUGUUUUGAGAAUAUAACAUAUCAUUAUAACUUUUAUUUUUACUGUGAUUCAAAAUUCAGCUGUAUUUAAAUUAUUUACAGGUUGUACUUUAGUAUUGGGAUUAAAGUUUAGAUGCCUUAAACUCUGUUGACUUUGGAACAAUGUAUAUACUUUAUACUUGGAAGUAAUAUUUUAAAAGAGCUCUCAGAUACUAUUACAUGGGGGAAUGAAUAUCUUCUACUAGUGUUUCUUAAACUGUACAAAUAGGUCGUGUAGGAUAGGUUCAUUCUAUAUCCAAAUUCUUUUCUGUUUCUCUUAAUAAAAAUUAUGAAUUUAUGACAAAAGUCAGCAAGUGUUUUUUCGCUGUUGGUAAUGAAUACUCACAUUCAACAUGGACCUGGAAUUUUAAAGAGAUUUCUCACUGAAGAUUAUUUUUAGGGCCAUGUCAAUAGCUAAGUUAAUGGACCUUGUCAUACUUUAAAAGCUUGAGAAACUAGGGCGAAAGUUAUUUGCAUUUUAUUGAAAAUACUUCUAUUGUAUUUGCUAUUUAUGCUUUUAUACUUUUUUUUAUAUCUAUAUUUGCUCCAUUUUUCCCUGGCACACUAAAGAUAUAUACCCUGUGUCAGAAAUUAAGUGUAUUUACAUUUGUGGAGUUUCCCUAACACUGUGUCAUGCCCAGUGUGUGUGUGAUAACUACCAGCUUGUUUUCUAUGAAGAAAGUCGCCUGUAGAUUUGCAGUUAGGAGAUACUCAUUGUUUAGCAAGGCUCUUCCUUGCUAUACAGGUAACUGAUUCUCUCAGAACUGAUUCCAACACAUGUUUUCCAGUUUCAAUCAUAGUUUACAAAAUAAUCAUUAAGUAGGGAAAAAUCAUCUUUUUUGGUGGAGGGUUUCUCAGUGGUAGAUACAUAAAAGCUUGACUACUGUUCUCAGGAAGGACGGCAAUAAUUAUGUGUAUUGCACAGACACCAAGAGUGGAUUCAUACUAGCACAUGUAUUCAGCAGUAAAGUAAAAUAUCUUCUGGGACAGUACUCUUUUACGUUAUAUGCCUUUGUUCUGUGCUGUCUCAAGGUGCAACAUGGUAAAUACAUUUUGAUCUGUUCUCCUCCAGCAUAAUGUUUAUUGCCUGACUGGUCUCUUGGCGAAAUUUAUCUUUUUUAUAAGCUUUUGCUGUGACGAAUACAGCACCCGAAGGGAACCUCUAUAGGUUUUCUGUUGUUUUAGGAACAAAAACCUCAGUUUCAUACAGGAAUGCAUUUCGUGCUUAGUCUGGAGAAAUGCUAUUGGUUUACCAAAAAAGUCGUUUUGUUUGAAUGUAUCAUAAAAGUUUUCAUGGGUUCCCAUAUUAUUUGAUAAACUUUCAAUCCAGACAACAUUCAGAAAAAUAUAGGAUGAAUGAAUUGUAAGUUUAAAAAAAUCCAGCUUUUAGAUAGUCACUGUUGUAUGUCCUGGUCAUAUUUUUGUUUUUAUGAAUUUGUAUAGUAUUAGCACGUCCACAGAUUUGUUUGUAUUCUGUGUGCACUGGAGUCUUGUUCUUGAUUUAGGCUCAGCAUUUAUUCUGAGUUACUUAUGUUACUAUUUUAAUAAAUUUUAAGCUUUAAUUUUUUGAUCAGGGAUAUAAUGUAACACAUUGAAAAGAAUACAAACUUAACAGACAUAAAUAAUAUUAAAAUGACACACAAAUACUUUAGCUAAGAUGAUCUAUGCUCUUACAAAAGAAUGCAAUCCUAAUGACAUCAGCUUUUAAGGAUAUGAAGCUUAUUAAGAUGAUUAUAUUUCUGUAAAAAUUAAUUUUUACCUUUCACGAUUUUGUAAUAUAUGUAAACAAACUCAAUUUCUUUUUUUCCUCUCUAAAUAGUUCAGACUCCUGAGGAACAAGAGUAAUAAUGGCUAAUACUCCAUUACUAUUUCCUAAUUUAAAUUUUUACCUAAGUGUUAGUAUUAUUAUGGACAUUAGGCUAUAUUUUCAUUAAGGGUUUUGCUCCUUGGGAUCUCUCUCUUUAUCCUGUAUUACUACUAGAUCUCUUACUGUCCUGGACCAUUCCUGUUAAGUACAGACAAGCUCUAGGACCUGUCCUGUUAAUAACAAAAAAGUAUUACCCCACAUUCUUUUCCAAUUAUUGCUCCAUUUCAUUGUUGCUGUUUUUGCAGCACAAUUUCUCAAAAGUUUUCUCUAGUCACUAUCUCUACUUUUCUACCUUCAUAAAUUCUUAAUUUAUUUAAAGCUGAGCACUUACAAAAUGUAGAGACUAAGGACAGCGAACACCGUCUACCCACAACUACCACUAACUUCGAACAUUACUAAUGACUUUGAAGAUCCCUGUAUGCCACUCUCAGAUCCAAUUUCCUUCUCUCUUAAGAUGUUCACCAUGAUGAAUUUCUUUAGUUUCUCAUGUAUUUUUAUUCCUAAAAAUUACAUUGAAAUGUAGUUUUAUGUUUCUAGGAUUCUUCAUUUAUAUGGUAUAAAGCUGUACUUUGCAUUUACUUUUACUAGAUCUGUUCCACUGCAUGAAUAUACUAGAAUUUCUCCAUUUUAUUUUUUGGACAAUUGGGUUGUAUCUAGUUUUCUUGCUAUUCCAAAGAGUGCGGCUAUGUGUACUUGUGUUCUUGUCUCCUGGUCAAACUGUAUAGCAAAGGAUUAAGCUUUAGGGUUUCUCCCUUUAUCUGUUGUGAAUUGAUGCUUUUAUAAAAUAUACUAAAAAUGUCUCAGCAAUGUCAAAUUUCUAACUAUUUACUGUUAAUUUCUGUAUUUAUCUUAUGGUGGACAACACUUUGAGUAACACUGUGUUAAGAUAUAUUUAGUUGCAAAAUUCUUGAUCAUACAUCUGCUUAUGCAGAAAAUUUUGUGUCAUCAAAGUCACUAAUAUUCUAGUUCAAAUUUCACAGAAGGCAGUCUGCAACAAUUUGUGGCUGGUACUCUAUCUGUUUUCAGUUCCUAAGAUGCAGGAGAUUUCAGAUACAGGCCUGCUGGUUUUGGUAAAUGUAUUUUUUAUCCUAGAGAAAGUGAGUGCAAUUAGGAAUGAGCUGCUGCUUAAGAGUUCUUUCAUAGCCAGCCUAGCAAGUACAAGUGAGAGAAAACCAUGAUAAUGGGCUGAAGAGCCAAGGAGGAGUGAAUUUAUAAAAGGAGAUGGUCUGCAAUACAAAAUUCUACAGUAGAGAAGUCUAAAAAGCAUUGAGAAAAAAAUUGUACAUAGUAAGGUUUUUAGAAACUUCUAAGAGCACAAUUAAAAUUGAGUGUACAAUACCUCUCAUGUUAGCAGCAGGUCUUGAGUAGGCAGCCUCAGAAUGGUCUCAGUGCAUCAGGGGAACAGAAUGGUCUCAGUGCAUCAGAAUGCAAGCUAAUGUUCUUAUAAGCAAGAAACAGGACUACUUUAUAUUAGUGUUUUCAACCUUAUUAUUAUUAUCAACCCACUAAAGGAGCCUCUUUUAGACAUUUUUUCCCUAAUCAUCACUACCCCCUGAGAUUUUAAUACCAUAGACUUACAGUGUCUCUGUUGAGGUGCUAUGGAUUUUCAAGGGCCACAACCAUUGUAAUAUUUUUUAAGAUUUUUUUUUGUCCCCCAAGAACCAGUUUUUACCUUCUUGGGAGUUAUAGAACUUCUGUUAAGAAUGCAUACUAU